rnacentral:rRNA from 1 species
UACGAAGGGGGCUAGCGUUGCUCGGAAUCACUGGGCGUAAAGCGCACGUAGGCGGCUUCUUAAGUCAGGGGUGAAAUCCUGGAGCUCAACUCCAGAACUGCCUUUGAUACUGAGGAGCUUGAGUCCGGGAGAGGUGAGUGGAACUGCGAGUGUAGAGGUGAAAUUCGUAGAUAUUGGCAAGAACACCAGUGGCGAAGGCGGCUCACUGGCCCGGUACUGACGCUGAGGUGCGAAAGCGUGGGGAGCAAACAGG